rnacentral:sRNA from 1 species
AUGCUGCCACUUUGGACUCUUUCACUGCUGCUGGGAGCAGUAGCAGGAAAAGAAGUUUGCUACGAAAGACUCGGCUGCUUCAGUGAUGACUCCCCAUGGUCAGGAAUUACGGAAAGACCCCUCCAUAUAUUGCCUUGGUCUCCAAAAGAUGUCAACACCCGCUUCCUCCUAUAUACUAAUGAGAACCCAAACAACUUUCAAGAAGUUGUCGCAGAUUCAUCAACCAUCAGUGGCUCCAAUUUCAAAACAAAUAGAAAAACUCGCUUUAUUAUUCAUGGAUUCAUAGACAAGGGAGAAGAAAACUGGCUGGCCGAUGUGUGCAAGAAUCUGUUCAAGGUGGAAAGUGUGAACUGUAUCUGUGUGGACUGGAAAGGUGGCUCCCGAACUGGAUACACACAAGCCUCGCAGAACAUCAGGAUCGUGGGAGCAGAAGUGGCAUAUUUUGUUGAAUUUCUUCAGGUAAUUACUCCCGGAUUGCAUAAAAGCUUGUACACAUGGUUUUCCAGAUUAUCUUU